rnacentral:rRNA from 1 species
GACGAACGCUGGCGGCGUGCUUAACACAUGCAAGUCGAACGGAAAGGCCCUGCUUUUGUGGGGUGCUCGAGUGGCGAACGGGUGAGUAACACGUGAGUAACCUGCCCUUGACUUUGGGAUAACUUCAGGAAACUGGGGCUAAUACCGGAUAGGAGCUCCUGCUGCACGGUGGGGGUUGGAAAGUUUCGGCGGUUGGGGAUGGAAUCGCGGCUUAUCAGCUUGUUGGUGGGGUAGUGGCUUACCAAGGCUCUGACGGGUAGCCGGCCUGCGAGGGUGACCGGCCACAUUGGGACUGAGAUACGGCCCAGACGGCUACGGGGGGCAGCAGUGGGGAAUAUUGCACAAUGGGCGGAAGCCUGAUGCAGCAACGCCGCGUGCGGGAUGACGGCCUUCGGGUUGUAAACCGCUUUCGCCUGUGACGAAGCGUGAGUGACGGUAAUGGGUAAAGAAGCACCGGCUAACUACGUG